rnacentral:tRNA from 1 species
GUUACUGUAGCUUAAUUAAAGCAUAACACUGAAGAUGUUAAGAUGACCCUUAGAUUGGGUCCGGGGACA